UAGGUAGUAAUAGUUAUGUUCUUGAAACUUAAAAAAUUUGGCGGUAUUUUAGUCUAUUCAGAGGAACCUGUUCUGUAAUUGAUAAUCCACGUUGGACCUUACUUAAAUUUGUUUAGCAAUUUAUAUACCGUUGUUAUUUAAAUAUUUUUAAGAAUAAUAAUGUUUAAUAAUUUAGAUGAAAAUUUAUAUCAAAUCAAGGUGUAGUUUAUGUUUAAGUAGAAAUGGGUUACAAUAAAAUUAUUUAUGGAUAUAAAUAUGAAAAAUUUAUUGAAAUUGGAUUUGAUUGUAAAAUUAUAGAGAUUAAUAAUUUGAUUUUAGCUCUAAAAUAUGU
rnacentral:rRNA from 1 species